CAGCCGCCGCGGUAACACGUAGGGUGCGAGCGUUAAUCGGAAUUACUGGGCGUAAAGCGUGCGCAGGCGGUUGUGUAAGACAGGUGUGAAAUCCCCGGGCUUAACCUGGGAACUGCGCUUGUGACUGCACAGCUAGAGUAUGGCAGAGGGGGGUGGAAUUCCUCGUGUAGCAGUGAAAUGCGUAGAGAUGUGGAGGAACACCGAUGGCGAAGGCAGCCCCCUGGGCCAAUACUGACGCUCAUGCACGAAAGCGUGGGGAGCAAACAGGAUUAGAUACCCGCGUAGUCCCUGUCUCUUAUAC
rnacentral:rRNA from 1 species